AAUCAACGCUGGCGGCGUGCCUCAGACAUGCAAGUCGAACGAUUAAAGCUCUCUUCGGAGAGUGUAUAGAGUGUCGCACGGGUGAGUAACACGUAAGUAAUCUACCUUUGAGUGGGGAAUAACCCGGGGAAACCGAGCUAAUACCGCAUAAUGCAGCGGCACCGCAAGGUGACAGUUGUUAAAGGAGCAAUCCGCUUAAAGAGGAGCUUGCGGCAGAUUAGCUAGNGGUAAGGUAAUGGCUUACCAAGGCUUCGAUCUGUAUCCGGCCUGAGAGGGCGGUCGGACACACUGGACACUGAAUAACGGGUCAGACUCCUACGGGAGGCAGCAGUCGGGAAUUUUGGGCAAUGGCGAAAGCCUGACCCAGCAACGCCGCGUGAAGGAUGAAGUAUUUCGGUAU
rnacentral:rRNA from 1 species